rnacentral:rRNA from 1 species
UACGUAGGUGGCAAGCGUUGUCCGGAAUUAUUGGGCUUAAAGCGCGCGCAGGCGGCCUCUUAAGUCUGAUGUGAAAGCCCCCCGGCUCAACCGGGGAGGGCCAUUGGAAACUGGGAGGCUUGAGUAUAGGAGAGAAGAGUGGAAUUCCACGUGUAGCGGUGAAAUGCGUAGAGAUGUGGAGGAACACCAGUGGCGAAGGCGACUCUUUGGCCUAUAACUGACGCUGAGGCGCGAAAGCGUGGGGAGCAAACAGG